rnacentral:antisense_RNA from 1 species
AGUCAUGGUUGCUAUUCCUGGUAAAUAGUAAUUGUGAUCAGCGGUGCGGGUGUGUUGGCGCACAUUCGCACCGCGCU